rnacentral:rRNA from 1 species
CCCUUAGAUGUUCUGGGCCGCACGCGCGCUACACUGAUGCAUUCAACGAGUCUAAAACCUGGUCUGAUAGGGCUGGGUAAUCUUUUGAAAGUGCAUCGUGAUUGGGAUAGAUGAUUGCAAUUCUUCAUCUUCAACGAGGAAUGCCUAGUAAACGCAAGUCAUCAGCUUGCAUUGAUUACGUCCCUGCCCUUUGUACACACCGCCCGUCGCUCCUACCGAUUGAAUGGUCCGGUGAAGCGUUCGGACCGUGGCCUUUGGACGGUUCGCCGUCUGUUGGCUGCGGGAAGUUCGUUAAACCUUAUCAUUUAGAGGAAGGUGAAGUCGUAACA